rnacentral:rRNA from 1 species
UACGGAGGGUGCAAGCGUUAUUCGGAAUUACUGGGCGUAAAGCGUGCGCAGGCGGUUUGUUAAGUCCGCUGUGAAAUCCCCGAGCUCAACUUGGGAAUUGCAGUGGAUACUGGCAAGCUGGAGUAUGGUAGAGGAAGGUGGAAUUCCCGGUGUAGCAGUGAAAUGCGUAGAGAUCGGGAGGAACACCAGUGGCGAAGGCGGCCUUCUGGACCAAUACUGACGCUCAUGCACGAAAGCGUGGGGAGCGAACAGG